rnacentral:rRNA from 1 species
AGCCUGAUCCAGCCAUGCCGCGUGUGUGAAGAAGGUCUUCGGAUUGUAAAGCACUUUAAUUUGGGAAGAAGGGUUGUAACCUAAUACGUUGCAAUCUUGACGUUACCGACAGAAUAAGCACCGGCUAACUCUGUGCCAGCAGCCGCGGUAAUA